AUUGAACGCUGGCGGCAUGCCUUACACAUGCAAGUCGAACGGUAACGGGCCUUCGGGUGCCGACGAGUGGCGAACGGGUGAGUAAUGUAUCGGAACGUACCAUUGAGUGGGGGAUAACGUAGCGAAAGUUACGCUAAUACCGCAUAUUCUCUCCGGAGGAAAGCAGGGGACCGCAAGGCCUUGCGCUCUUUGAGCGGCCGAUAUCAGAUUAGCUAGUUGGUGGGGUAAAAGCUCACCAAGGCGACGAUCUGCAGCGGGUCUGAGAGGAUGAUCCGCCACACUGGAACUGAGACACGGUCCAGACUCCUACGGGAGGCAGCAGUGGGGAAUUUUGGACAAUGGGGGCAACCCUGAUCCAGCCAUGCCGCGUGAGUGAAGAAGGCCUUCGGGUUGUAAAGCUCUUUCAGCCGGGAAGAAAACGCACUCUCUAAUACAGGGUGUGGAUGACGGUACCGGAAUAAGAAGCACCGGCUAACUACGUGCCAGCCGCCGCGGUAA
rnacentral:rRNA from 1 species